rnacentral:rRNA from 1 species
AAUCAACGCUGGCGGCGUGCCUAACACAUGCAAGUCGAACGCGAAAGUCCCGCAAGGGAUUAGUAGAGUGGCAAACGGGUGAGUAACACGUGGGUGACCUGCCUUCGAGCGGGGGAUAACGUCCCGAAAGGGACGCUAAUACCGCAUAACAUCCUGCCUUUUAAGAGGCGGUGAUCAAAGCCGGGGAUUCGCAAGAACCUGGCACUUGAAGAGGGGCCCGCGCCUGGUUAGCUAGUUGGUGGGGAAUGGCCUACCAAGGCAACGAUCAGUAUCCGGCCUGAGAGGGCGGACGGACACACUGGGACUGAGACACGGCCCAGACUCCUACGGGAGGCAGCAGUGGGGAAUUGUUCGCAAUGGGCGCAAGCCUGACGACGCAACGCCGCGUGGAGGAUGAAGA